GAUGAGCAUGCGUCCCAUUAGCUAGAUGGUAAGGUAACGGCUUACCAUGGCUACGAUGGGUAGGGGUCCUGAGAGGGAGAUCCCCCACACUGGUACUGAGACACGGACCAGACUCCUACGGGAGGCAGCAGUGAGGAAUAUUGGACAAUGGGCGCAAGCCUGAUCCAGCCAUGCCGCGUGCAGGAUGACGGUCCUAUGGAUUGUAAACUGCUUUUGCACAGGAAGAAACAACGCUACGUGUAGCGUCUUGACGGUACUGUGAGAAUAAGGAUCGGCUAACUCCGUGCCAGCAGCCGCGGUAAUACGGAGGAUCCAAGCGUUAUCCGGAAUCAUUGGGUUUAAAGGGUCCGUAGGCGGUUUAGUAAGUCAGUGGUGAAAGCCCAUCGCUCAACGGUGGAACGGCCAUUGAUACUGCUAGACUUGAAUUAUUAGGAAGUAACUAGAAUAUGUAGUGUAGCGGUGAAAUGCUUAGAGAUUACAUGGAAUACCAAUUGCGAAGGCAGGU
rnacentral:rRNA from 1 species